rnacentral:lncRNA from 1 species
UAGAAUCAAGCAAAACUCAAUAAAUGAGUCUGGAGAGAAUCAAAAGUGGUUUUUAACGAUUUUAUGCUUGUUUUGCAUUGUUUUCUAGCUAUUUUGAAGAAAGUGAAGAAUGGAGUUGAAGAUACAGGUCGUAGACUCAAGAAAAGAGAAGAAAAAUGAAGAUUUGAAGAGUCGACAACCGUCCCGCGACACACUUAAACCGCUGGGCGGCCCAGGGCGAGGAGUAGGCAUGGCGAUUGACGUUGGGCGGUUCUGAGGGAAACCGCCGGGCGGUGACGACUGCCGCCGGGCGGUGACGACUGCUGCCAGGCGGUUCUGAGGCUUUUGCCAAACCGCCAGGCGACACACUUAAACCGCAGGGUGGUGGUCCGCUGGGCCUGGGCUUGUUUUCUGACACGCU